rnacentral:rRNA from 1 species
UGGGGAAUAUUGGACAAUGGGCGAAAGCCUGAUCCAGCCAUGCAGCGUGAGUGAUGAAGGCCCUAGGGUUGUAAAGCUCUUUUGUGCGGGAAGAUAAUGACGGUACCGCAAGAAUAAGCCCCGGCUAACUUCGUGCCAGCAGCCGCGGUAAUACGAAGGGGGCUAGCGUUGCUCGGAAUCACUGGGCGUAAAGGGUGCGUAGGCGGGUUUCUAAGUCAGAGGUGAAAGCCUGGAGCUCAACUCCAGAACUGCCUUUGAUACUGGAAGUCUUGAGUUCGGGAGAGGUGAGUGGAACUGCGAGUGUAGAGGUGAAAUUCGUAGAUAUUCGCAAGAACACCAGUGGCGAAGGCGGCUCACUGGCCCGAUACUGACGCUGAGGCACGAAAGCGUGG